GGGGGUGUAGCUCAGUUGGCUAGAGCACCUGCUUUGCAAGCAGGGGGUCGGGGGUUCAAGUCCCCCCACCUCCACCA
rnacentral:tRNA from 1 species